AGCUUUGCACAGUGGCAGUAUUGUAGCCAAUGAGGUUUAUCCGAGGCAUGAUUAUUGCUAAUUAAAAUGCUUAUUAUGUAAUUGUAUGGACAACAUUUCUGCAAAAAGUAUCUU
rnacentral:snRNA from 1 species